rnacentral:rRNA from 1 species
AUGGGCCAAAAGCCUGAACCACGCCAAGUUGGCGUGCAGGGAAGACGGCCCUAUUGGGUGUAAACCUCCUUUUAUUCGGGGGAUAAAAUGAAGGGACGUGUUCCCUCAUUUGCAGGUACCGCAUGAAUAAGGGCCCGGCCUAAUUCCGGGCCAGCAGCCCGCGGGUAAACCGGAAGGGCCCGGGCGUUAUUCCGGAUUUAUUGGGGUUUUAAAGGGAGGGGUAGGCCGGGGGAUUAAAGCGUGUUGUGGAAAUGCAAGGUGCUCAAACGUCUGCACUGCAGCGCGAACUGGUCCACUUGAGUGUGCGCAAACCAGGCGGAAUUCGUCGUGUAGCGGUGAAAUGCUUAGAUAUGACGAAGAACUCCGAUUGCGAAGGCAACCUGCGGGAGCACAACUGACGCUGAAGCUCGAAAGUGCGGGUAUCGAACAGG